UACGUAGGUGGCAAGCGUUGUUCGGAAUUACUGGGCAUAAAGCGCGCGUAGGCGGAUUGUUAAGUCAGGGGUGAAAUCCCGAGGCUCAACCUCGGAACUGCCUUUGAUACUGGCGAUCUUGGGUCCGGGAGAGGUGAGUGGAAUUCCUAGUGUAGAGGUGAAAUUCGUAGAUAUUAGGAAGAACACCAGUGGCGAAGGCGGCUCACUGGCCCGGUACUGACGCUGAGGCGCGAAAGCGUGGGGAGCAAACAGG
rnacentral:misc_RNA from 1 species